CCGGUCAUGAUUUCCGUGGCUCCGUGACCGAAUUUUGUACUUCGCUGGUUUUAGCAACAAAGGCCGGCGACUAGCUUGAGUGCCAAUUCAUCCGUAGCCGGUUCCCUCGACAGGGAUUAAGACAUAUCCCACGUCAUCCUUCACCGCGAGACUAGGCAAAUCUUCACCCUUCACUGUAGGAAUUUUACACAUUUCCAGCUCAUACCCUGGCGAGCACCUUUUUGGAGCAUUGCGGCCGCUGCUCAUCGACAAAUCAUGCUAGGUGGGGAAUUAUCAGAAUAGGGAGAUUAUGUGAGUUAGGUGUGGCGUCUGGCCGCGUUCGUGCCUUUGGAUACCCCACCUUGAGACGUGUUUUCUCAGCAACUGCAUUACCUGUAAUGGCAUAAAAAAGGGAGAGAAGUUUAUGUUUAUUUUUAUUUUUUAUGCCCUUGUUGGUGGGACCCAGUCUAACAAUCGAAGAGUUCUCCCCAAUCUUAUUCUUGCUCUGAUCACGUCAUGUUUUCUUUAGUGUUUUGGUCCCAAAGCAUUUGAGACACUAGGUGUCAACCAUGUUUAUGUGCAGAUCGGCGAUGGAAGGAGGAGGUUCGACCUUGGGAACUGAAAUAUAUAAUCAGCUUCUUCGGCUGCAUGAUGCUCCGCUACCAGGUCAAUUGCCCGGAACCCAUUCCCGACGUCUUCUCAGGGAUUGAAAUUUCCACUGAGACAGAGAAAUUCAAGCUGAUCUUGAAGCAACUUUUAUUCUUUCUCCUCUCAUAAGUUCAAAGGCGAGUUACAACUGUGAGGCAAUGGGUCACCCAUUUUCGCUAACUGAGCCCAUGGACAAAUUGUUCGCACCAUCGUAAACCUCAAUUUGUUCUACAUAUUCUGUCAGACUUUGCGGAGGUAUUCGUGAAUACUUACGUAAAAAAGUGGCUUGUGAAUUAAAUCUGAGUAUAAAACAUCUAUGGCGCCGUCGGUGAUGGUGAGGUAUCAUUUGUUGUAUGAACUGGGAAUGUACUACUCUACUGACUGACCAUUCGCCCCAAGGAUAUGCUUUUCCUGCCUCCCACAAACAUUUUCAAUAAGCAUCUCAGUUUCUUCGUCAAAGCUGCUGCUGCAAAAGCCAUUCUUGACAAAGUUGAAAAAGGUUCUUAGAUCCUGCUGAAAUCGGGGUGAUGGUUGUCGUAUCUGUGGCGAAUUCAAUAACCUUGGUAGACUCGACAGAGUUCUGCGAUUUUCUCUCUCUUGCGCAAUCCAAUUCGAGGAAAUACGUGUAUUUGUCUUAGAGGAGAGUGAUGUGACAGAACUGAUACAGUGUGUCGUGAAUUGCACAAGAGAAAGUCGGACCUUACAGAAAACCUGGGAUUUAACAUCACUUAUGGAAUCCGGAUGUAACAGCUCGUACCUCGAAAAGACAAAACCUAGCAUUUCAUUUUCUAUUGUUAUUUUGUGUAAGAAUGCUGAGUCAAUGUCGGACAUGGAUAUAGUUGAUCCGACUGCCAUGCAUACCAUAAUCAAUGAAAAACGAAAAAGUACACAUAUUUUUUUAAAUAGAGAUGAUAGUUUGACUGUGACCACUAAUUUCAUCUGUGAGGGUCUGUGAACCCGACUGCCUUCUCGACUGACAUUAGCAUCUACAACAUGAUCUCACAAAUCAAUUGGAACUAUAAUUUGCUCUUCCAUGGUACAAUCUUCAAAGUGUGCCCGUAACUCAGGACAGUGUGCCAAUUAGUUCGUUUACAAUUAGAUCGUUGGUUUUCGGAACGACGAGUUUGUACUGCUACAGUGAUAUCUCUUAGUUGCGUUUCCUGGAAUGGUAGAUCCUGACACUUUGGUUCUGUUCAAUUUCGUAAUCUUGCUAAUCCUGACAAGAAUUGCUUCUCUUCUUCCUGGACCCGAAAGCUAAGUGGGCCGUCUUGUAUGACUUUUGUGUGAUGAGUAAGAAAAGCAUUUAGU
rnacentral:lncRNA from 1 species